rnacentral:tRNA from 1 species
CGACUUAGCUCAGCUGGCAGAGCAGCUGAUUUGUAAUCAGCCGGUCGUUGGUUCGAAUCCGACAGUCG